CCUACGGGUGGCAGCAGUGGGGAAUAUUGGUCAAUGGGCGCGAGCCUGAACCAGCCAAGUAGCGUGAAGGAUGACUGCCCUAUGGGUUGUAAACUUCUUUUAUAAAGGAAUAAAGUGAGGCACGUGUGCCUUUUUGUAUGUACUUUAUGAAUAAGGAUCGGCUAACUCCGUGCCAGCAGCCGCGGUAAUACGGAGGAUCCGAGCGUUAUCCGGAUUUAUUGGGUUUAAAGGGAGCGUAGAUGGGUUGUUAAGUCAGUUGUGAAAGUUUGCGGCUCAACCGUAAAAUUGCAAUUGAUACUGGCAGCCUUGAGUACAGUAGAGGUAGGCGGAAUGCGUGGUGUAGCGGUGAAAUGCGUAGAUAUCACGAAGAACUCCGAUUGCGAAGGCAGCUUACUAGACUGCCACUGACAUUGAUGCUCGAAAGUGUGGGUAUCAAACAGGAUUAGAUACCCGAGUAGUC
rnacentral:rRNA from 1 species